rnacentral:lncRNA from 1 species
AUGCUGAGCAUGACCAAGAAAAUGACGGCACAGAGAAUUCUGUCUGAAUAUCCAGCAGUUUCUUCAUUAAAAUUCAAAUUGGUUGAAAUUGUGUUUAUUGCGCUGCUACAAAUAACUAUAUAUUUGCUGGAUAAGCACAUAACUGAACUCGUGCAGAGCAAUAAAUAUGUAUUUUCAGAACCUGACGUUCUUGAUGAGGCACAUGCAGAAGCACCUGUGAAAGAAGAGGCAGAGACCCCCAAGGAGGUGCAAACGGGCCCUGUAGGGUCUCAAGAACAUGAGGCUCCUCAAGAAGAAAAGGAGAAAGCUCCUGAGAUUUCUGUAAAAGCACCUACAGAACAACCCAAACAGGAAGGUACUGUCUAGGUGUUUCUCCAGCGGUUCCCGUGUCAGUAAUUCAAUAGAGAAGUUAAUGUAAAUUGAUUUAAGUGAGUGUAGAUUAAACAUUCUCAGCAAAGUGAGGUGAAUGUGUUUUACAGAGCCUGCAGAGGAAGGUCAACCACAAGGUAGAAUACAUUAAAUCCACACUUUCUAUUUAGUCUCUCUGUCCAACUAUUGGUCUAAGUCUCACAUUUUACCACAAGAAUCACUAAAAUUUAAUGUUACGAUCACGGUACCAGGUGUUAAGAAGACAGAAGAACAUGAAAAGCUGGAAGAUGUAGAAGCAGCAGGGAAGAUGGGUUGGUCGAUUAUAUUACAAAUUAAAAUUAAAGCAAGGUUUCAUUUAAAGCUGCAUAUAUUGUACCGUAUAUAAACAUACAAGAAAAAGAUGAAAAUAGAGACUUCUGAGAUGAUUUGGUGUCCCUUGAUUGAGGGGUUCAUUGUUUUGUGGUGGCUUGUAUGUCCACUAAAGUCAAAACUGGAAAACCUGUCAUUUUUAAAAUGGCUAGUGAUAACCACGUUUGUUAAAUUGCCACCCUUUUGAAAACGCGAAAGAGAAUUCUAAUAACCCUCGGCAAUUUCAUCUUUUACAUGGGAGAUCUGUUUUUUUUUUUUUUUUUUUUUCUUUCAGAAGUACAGCCAGGACCCAGAGAAAUAGGUAAAGGUUUCAUUCAUAUGAAUUCAUGGUUCAUGCCAAAAAAAUGUUUUUAAAUAUUCAGAAAAACAACCUUUUGCAGAGCCGGAGAUUCAGAGGGAGGUGCAGAUGAAGCCCCAGCAGACUCAAGGUGAGGUUUACAUUUAUUUAGCACUUUUGUCCAAAGCAACUUCCAGUGAACUGUAUGUAGUGUUAUGAGCCCACACACCUUAUUCACCGCGGUGACUUACACUGCUAGAUACACUACAUACACUGGGUCACUCAUCCAUACAUCACUGGAACACACUCUCUCUGUCACUCACACACUGUGGGUGAACCUGAACAGCAUGU